GGAGAAAAGCAGGGGAUCGCAAGACCUUGCGCUCUUGGAGCGGCCGAUGUCUGAUUAGCUAGUUGGUGAGGUAAAGGCUUACCAAGGCGACGAUCAGUAGCUGGUCUGAGAGGACGACCAGCCACACUGGGACUGAGACACGGCCCAGACUCCUACGGGAGGCAGCAGUGGGGAAUUUUGGACAAUGGGGGAAACCCUGAUCCAGCCAUGCCGCGUGAGUGAAGAAGGCCUUCGGGUUGUAAAGCUCUUUCAGCCGGAACGAAACGGUCACAGCUAAUACCUGUGACUACUGACGGUACCGGAAGAAGAAGCGCCGGCUAACUACGUGCCAGCAGCCGCGGUAAUACGUAGGGUGCAAGCGUUAAUCGGAAUUACUGAGCGUAAAGCGUGCGCAGGCGGUUUUGUAAGUCAGAUGUGAAAUCUCCGGGCUUAACCUGGGAACUGCGUUUGAAACUACAAAGCUAG
rnacentral:rRNA from 1 species